rnacentral:lncRNA from 1 species
UGGAACCAGCAAAGAAGACAGAAACAACAGCCACAGAGCUAAAAAGGAGAAGCAAGUGAGUCUCCAAAACUAAGUGAAAAAGAUGUGUUUUGAAGAAAAGGGAGUGAGCAACUGUGUUGAGUGCUGAAGACAGGUCAAGUAUAAAGAGGGCUGAGAUUGGACCACUGGAUUUGGCAGCAUGGAGGUACCUGAUGCCACCAAUUCCUGAGUUUUUCUGCUGUUCAGUGGAGUGGACUAUCGCCUUCAAAUUAGCCUGGCCCUGGGCAGGAAGAGAGAGUACCUGGAUCACCAUGGCAAAAUCGGAGAAGGCGUCACAGAAGAGGAAGAUACGUAUGCGCUUCUUAAUGUGGCAUCAUCUCUAACAAAAUACUUGCAUAAUGCACAUACAUCAGCCACAGUGCCUGGGUCAGCCUCCACGGUAUCUUCAGGGCAAGCAUCACUUUCCAUUUCCCAAAAGGAAUAGCUACUUUCUAUUUUGUUUUUGGAAAAGGAAGGUAGGGCAGA